rnacentral:piRNA from 1 species
AUGUUAGUCAAAAUGCAUAAC